CCCGCACAAGCGGUGGAGUAUGUGGUUUAAUUCGAUGCAACGCGAAAACCUUACCUGCCCUUGACAUCCUCGGAACUUGUCAGAGAUGACUUGGUGCCCUCGGGAACCGAGAGACAGGUGCUGCAUGGCUGUCGUCAGCUCGUGUCGUGAGAUGUUGGGUUAAGUCCCGCAACGAGCGCAACCCUUACCCUUAGUUGUUUCCCGAAAGGAUUACCCUCUAAGGGGACUGCCCCGGACAACGGGAGGAAGGUGGGGAUGACGUCAAGUCCGCAUGCUCCUUACGUCUAGGGCUACACACGUCCUACAAUGGGGUCGACAGUGGGAUGCAAAGCCGCGAGGUGGAGCCAAUCCCCAAACGGCCUCUCAGUUCGGAUAGUAGUCUGCAACUCGACUACUUGAAGUCGGAAUCGCUAGUAAUGGCGGAUCAGCAUGCCGCCGUGAAUACGUUCCCGGGUCUU
rnacentral:rRNA from 1 species